rnacentral:lncRNA from 1 species
AAAUAAACAAGUGUUUAUAAACGCAUUCUCUUAUCUCAAGCUAGGCCUAAAGAUACUUGAUUUGAAAUGUUGUUUAGAUUCUCUUACGGUUUGAAAAUGUCGUACAUUAUAUAAAAUAGAUUAGAUAAAGGGUGUUGUUGCAAGCACUCGUAUAAUCUAACUAUAAUGGGUCCGUUUGAUACAUGGGCUGCUCACAGGAGAAAUACAAUCAAGGAACUGCAAAAUUUAGCAAAGAACAUGAAAUCCCAUGCAGAGAAUGCUAAAAUAGCCUCAGCUGUAGGAUGUGGUACAAGUAUUGUCUCAGGAGUUGGCGCUGCCGCUUGCUUCUUUGCAGCACCUUUUACGUUUGGUGGCACUCUAAUUCCUGCCACUGCACUGGGUGGUGUAUCCUUUGCUGGUGCAAUCACAUCCGCUGGUUCAUCAGUAGUAAACUUCAUCAUCGAGAAAUGUCAUAUGAGUGAUGUCCAGUCCACUCUUGAUGCUGAUAGAGAAUCUCUCGAAAGGCUAUUGAAAUAUGUAAAAUAAGCUAAAGCUAUAACAGUCGCCGAAGGUGCUGAGUAUGCCACGAAGAUCGGAAAAGCAGCUCCGGGUGGGAUCAAAUUAGGUGCAGAGUUGAGCUUAAAAAUUGCUCAAAAGCUUGCUGUAUCAGAAAAAGCUGUAAAAUUUUUAGUUAGACUUGGAAAAGUCGCUCGCUUUGCUAGUCAUGUUGCGACUCUACUUGCUCUCCCAUUGGACAUAAUCUUUUUCGUUAAAGACAUUUUAGACCUGAAAAAUAACGACGUCUCUGCAGCUGCAGACAAAGUUCUAGAACUGGCUAAACAACUUCAAGAUGAGUACGACAAUGUAAUGUCAGAAAUUUAAAAGAAAUGAUUUUCAAAUGAACUACUGGUAACAUAAAUUUCUCUCAACACAGACAUUCAACAUUCGUCAUUAUUUUUCCUCCAUGUUUUAUUCCUAAAUUAUUAAACUGUUCAUGACAUUGAAUAAAGAUAAGAAGAUGCUA